rnacentral:rRNA from 1 species
UAGGAAUCUUCCACAAUGGACGCAAGUCUGAUGGAGCAACGCCGCGUGAGUGAAGAAGGCUUUCGGGUCGUAAAACUCUGUUAUUGAAGAAGAACGUGUGUGACAGUAACUGGUCAUGCAGUGACGGUAUUCAAUCAGAAAGUCACGGCUAACUACGUGCCAGCAGCCGCGGUAAUACGUAGGUGGCAAGCGUUGUCCGGAUUUAUUGGGCGUAAAGCGAGUGCAGGCGGUCUUUUAAGUCUGAUGUGAAAGCCUUCGGCUUAACCGAAGAAGGGCAUCGGAAACUGGGAGACUUGAGUGCAGAAGAGGAGAGUGGAACUCCAUGUGUAGCGGUGAAAUGCGUAGAUAUAUGGAAGAACACCAGUGGCGAAGGCGGCUCUCUGGUCUGUAACUGACGCUGAGGCUCGAAAGCGUGGGUAGCAAACAGGAUUAGAUACCCU